rnacentral:rRNA from 1 species
UACGGAGGGUGCAAGCGUUAUCCGGAUUUAUUGGGCGUAAAGAGCUCGUCGGCGGCCCCUUAAGUCCUGCGUGAAAUCCUGCGGCUCAACCGCAGACGGUCGUGGGAAACUGGAGGGCUAGAGUGCGGGAGAGGAGAGUGGAAUUCCCGGUGUAGCGGUGAAAUGCGCAGAUAUCGGGAAGAACACCCGUGGCGAAGGCGGCUCUCUGGAACGCAACUGACGCUGAGACGCGAAAGCGUGGGGAGCAAACAGG